AGGAUCGACGAAUCAAAUGAUAUUUCUGUUCCAAUUUUUGCCUCUUCUUUUCCCUCUGAAUCAAACUUUUUUUUGCCAUACUCGUUAAGUUCCUAUUAGUAUCCUUGAUACAAGUCGGAUCCUAGAUGUAGAAAUAUAAGAUAAGAAGGUGGAUCUCUUCUUCAUCGAAAGAAAUGAGAUUAUCGCGGAUACAAAGCAUUCAAUGAAAAAAUUAACCAAAUUUCCCUGAUGUAGAGGCAAUCAAGAAAGCUGCAUAAGUAAAUAUAUAACCUACAGAAAAGUGGGCUAAUCCAACCAAUCUUGCUUGUACAAUGGAAAGUGCCACCGGUUUAUCUCUCCAACGAAUCAAAUUGGCCAAAGGUCAUUUAACCAACCCGGCAACCAUAUGCUUCGACCCGCAUUGA
rnacentral:lncRNA from 1 species